UACGGGGGGAGCAAGCGUUGUUCGGAUUUACUGGGCGUAAAGGGCGCGUAGGCGGUCAGCACAAGUCAGUUGUGAAAUCUCCGGGCUUAACUCGGAAAGGUCAACUGAUACUGUGCGACUAGAGUGCAGAAGGGGCAACUGGAAUUCUCGGUGUAGCGGUGAAAUGCGUAGAUAUCGAGAGGAACACCUGCGGCGAAGGCGGGUCGCUGGGCUGAUACUGACGCUGAGGCGCGAAAGCCAGGGGAGCGAACGGG
rnacentral:rRNA from 1 species